ACAUGAUCAAAAAGAAAGAAAAAAUGAUAUUUCAUAAAUUGAAUCAAAUGCUUUUAAUCCAAUUUUGAGUACUGAAAGAUAAUAAUUAAAGAGAAAAUAAUUAUAAUAUUUUUUGAAAAUCAAUUAAAAAAUAAUAAAAUAUCACAAUAUGAAUAAAAAAUCAACAAAACAAAAUUAUAAACCUCCCGCGCGGAGCGCGGGUCAACUGCUAGUAU
rnacentral:lncRNA from 1 species